rnacentral:rRNA from 1 species
CUACGGGUCGCACCAGUGGGGAAUAUUGCACAAUGGGCGCAAGCCUGAUGCAGCCAUGCCGCGUGUAUGAAGAAGGCCUUCGGGUUGUAAAGUACUUUCAGCGGGGAGGAAGGGAGUAAAGUUAAUACCUUUGCUCAUUGACGUUACCCGCAGAAGAAGCACCGGCUAACUCCGUGCCAGCAGCCGCGGUAAUACGGAGGGUGCAAGCGUUAAUCGGAAUUACUGGGCGUAAAGCGCACGCAGGCGGUUUGCUAAGUCAGAUGUGAAAUCCCCGGGCUCAACCUGGGAACUGCAUCUGAACUGGCAAGUUUGAGUCUCGUAGAGGGGGGUAGAAUUCCAGGUGUAGCGGGGAAAGGCGUAGAGAUCUGGAGGAAUACCGGUGGCGAAGGCGGCCCCCUGGACGAAGACUGACGCUCAGGUGCGAAAGCGUGGGGAGCAAACAGGAUUAGAUACCCUAGUAGUC